GUAGUACUCUUGGGGUAGAGAGGCAUGUGCUGGGAUGGCAUUCCAAGGCAUGUGGUGGGAUGGCAUGCCUUGGUGUGUGCUGGGAUGGCAUGCCAAGGAGAAGCAUGUGCUAGGAAGGCAUGCCAAGGCCAAGCCAAGGCCAAGGCAAGCACAUGCAUUGUGAGCGAGAUGAGACGGUUGUCUUUACCCCAAGAGUGCCCAAGGGAGAGGAAAGAGGUGUCAAACGCAUGCUGAGCCCCACUUCGGUAGUUUGGCACCCCCAUAGGCAUUGAGGCAAGCGUGCCUAUGGGAAAAGUCUGUUGAGCUUGUCAGCCAUGUUGGGUAUUAUUGUCUGGAGGAGAUGAUGGCACAAGGAUGCUGGCUUUAAGGUAACGUUCCGGCAGCACAGCCAGCCCGCAAUUGCUAGUUCAAGCGGGUGGAAUCUGCCUAUAGGGGCGUUGCUUGCUCGCGGUGGAAUUGGGCACGCCCAGUAUGUAUCAUCGACCGACGUAGUUCCUGCAUGGCCCCAUAGGUAUUCAGGCAAGCGUGCCUAUGGGUAAAGUCGCUCGAGCUUGCCAACACCCAUGUUAGCUGUAGUCUGGACCGAUGAUGGCACAAGGAUGCUUGCUUUAAGGUAACAUUCCGGCAGCACAGCCAGCCCGCAAUUGCUAGUUCAAGCGGGUGGAAUCUGCCUAUAGGGGUGUUGCUUGCUUGCUGUGGAUUUGGGACACGCCCAAUAUCUAUCAUCGACCCAACCGAAGUGCUCAACAUGGGUUGCUGAGGGCUAUUUUGCCACUGAUGGUUCAGUUGUUUGCUUGGCUUUGAUAAACGUUUAGAUGUCAUGAUGCUUGGGAUCCAAUAAAUUUAUGUGGGAAGCUGAGAGCUGGAACCCAAUGUCAUUCACCAGACGGCUUAGCUUCGUCAGUGUGUAUAAUAUGUCAUUGAACCCCAAACCUCGAUGCCAACCUGAUUAUGACUUUUGGAUCGCAAUUAUCAUGGCUAUCGAAAACUGAGUAGGAGUCAUGGAAUAAGUGAACAAUUUGUAGACUUUAUAGUUGUCAGCUUUCGCAUCGCCCGGUGUGUUUUGGGAAUCGCUUUGUGUGUUUGGUUGCCUGCCGUGCCUCUUGGCAUACGGUGGGUGCCACUUGCCGGGUGGUUUUCGGAAACAUCCACCGUAAAGGUGCAUGAGUGGUGUUUGGUUUGUUACGGGUGGUUGGCUCUUUGCUUGCGCAACAACUGCCACCUGACUUACCUCUUCAGAUGUUUGCCUAGGCUUGUAUAGCCUAAGCAGAUUGCGGGUUUCCUGUGUUGCCUACCUACGUCACGGAAUUGUCCCGAUCGAUCAAAGUUGCUUUCGUCUUGUGUCGUCUUGAUGGCAUAAGAUGAACCCUGAAGCUGUCUCUUUGCACCGCAUCGUUAAUGCAUGCAUUGAUGUUGUGGCCCAUUGAGCAUUGCUUGGUACCUUGGAUACGGAACCUUAUGUGGGCAUGGGUCCUUAGGGAUCCUUGUUCUGCCCUCGUUUAGCGUUCGCGCUUCUCUUAGAAUGACUGCCCAGCUGGAAUGGGAAGCCAUUCUGGAUGGGCAUCGUCAAAGAGGAAUGC
rnacentral:misc_RNA from 1 species